GGAGAGGUGGCGGAAUUGGUAGACGCGCUACUUUGAGGGGGUAGUGACAAUUGGGUCGUGGGAGUUCGAGUCUCCUCCUCUUCA
rnacentral:tRNA from 2 species